GCUGUGGAAGCUUGGGUUUCCUCUUGGGGGCUGGCGCCGCGCCUGCCGUGCCUCAGUUUCCCUAAUCCGGGAGGCGGAAGCGCGGACGGCGCCCUGAGCGCUCCCGGACUCGCGGAAGUCUCCGAGUGUGGGGAAGGGCAGUGUCUUUCCUGGACAUUCAGGUGGUUUUUCUCCAGUGCGGCGGACGCCUUCCCCGGCAGACUCCAGGCUGCCAUUUCUUUCCCUCUUCCCUUUCACUUUAUGAAAGUUCGCAGCUCUCGCUCAAGUCGACGUCUGUCCUCCUGUUGGGAAGGAGAACCUUCUGCAUAGCAGAAAAGAAUAAUUACAGACUUCAUCAUAAUCCUGCCCUGCUAGCACUGUCGUCUUCUCCAAGGCACUUAAACUAAGUUCGCUGGUUCUCGUUUUCGAAAGACCACUGAAGCUCCUUGCUCCAGACACACUGCUUGUACUCCGUCUUAGUUACCAGCAUAUGUUUGUUACUGGUGAUGCCUACCUGUCUGAGCCCCUAAAAGGUACACCGGGAUUCAUUCAGCUAAGUAUACCCUGCCGAAGACCUGCACAGAAAUGAUGGCAAACGGAAAGUCAAAGAGUUGGAUAACUUGUUCCAGGACCAAAAUGUGAAUCCAUGUCUCUCUGAUUCUAAGCCAAGACUAUUUCUAGGACUUCAGACAUUCUCUGUGUAACCACAAAAGAGGAACAGGAGCUUCUUUGACCUUGGUAAAGUAAUCUCUGUGUUUCCACAUUUCCUCAUCAAGUAUCCUUGGAAGAGCUAAUUAUGUAUCCCAGAUGUAUGGAUUUAAGGACAGGACUGUCCUUAAGGUGAAAGAAUAUUCAGAAUCUCGUCAUUAAAAAAUCUCCCUUGUGUCUAUAUACAGGGACAAGUAUCUGGAAAAAAAUAAUAAAAAGAUUUAAAAUAAAAAAUAAAAAAAAAUCUCCUAAAUAGUUGGUCUUUGUGAGCUUGCUCAUCAUGAGCAAAGUGAAGAGAAUAUGGAGCAUCUGAAAUUAUAAACCUACUCAUGGUGGGCUCACCUACAGCAAUCACUGGGAAGACUAUUUCCUCUCAUCAGCAAAAUCUUCUCUCUGGCCCCAUGCUGUCCUCUAUUCCUGAAGAAGGUCCUAUCUCUUUCCUCGUUAAGGAGAAAGGGACCAUUCAAUAGCUGUUCUAUUGAAUGGGAUCAUUAGUCACUUGUAGCUAUUUAAAUCACACCUGUAAUCCUAGCACUCUGGGAGGCCUAGACCGGUGGA